CAUUCUUUUCUUUGCUGUCUUCCAUCUUUCUCGCUCGAAUUUCUCUCAUUAAAUCAAAAAAUACCUAGAAAGAAAAAAAAUAGGAUAAAUAAAGCAAACAGAUACAUGAACUUGGUACUUCUCCAAAUCACAGCAGUAAACUUUGGGGGUAACAGAAGUAUAAAUAUUUAAGAGCUCUUGUUUGGGAGUACAGAGCGGAAAGCAUAAAACUAAAGCCUGAUUUUCCUAGUAUCUUGAAAAAAGGAGGAAACUAGGAAGUUUUCUGAAUUACACUUUAUGGUAAAAAUGUUCAUAUGUAAUAAAACCUGAUCUUUCUGUUCCAGUUUUCGAGACAAAAGUCUAAAAAGUUCUAUAAGGUGAUGACAGACCCAAAGAUAGAACUCAAUGGAUUAUAUUUAAGUAGUUUAUAAUCAAUAAAUGUAUUUUAUUAAUUUAUAUUUAAUAAUAUAUGCUUAAAUUUAUAUUUAAUAAUUUGAUUAUAUUUCAUAACUUGGUUUCCUCAGUUCCAUUUUUAGAAAUGAAGCUGAGGAAGAUGGGUGUAUGCUUUAUCAUCUUGAUACCAGACACUAUGAAACAACUUUGUCUGUUACUCUGUAUUUGAGAAUUUAUCAGUUUUUGUCUGAUGUCUAGGAACCGGUAAAUAAUGAGAUAUUAGCAUAGUAACUAAGAAAAUUACGAGUAUAACAAUUCAAAGUUAAAUUUCAAUAAGAAAUUCCUCUGUUCUGUAACACAGAAGGGUCUGGAAGGCUACACACUCACACUCCUACUCCACAUAAACGGCUGAGAGUAUAUGAUAAAAGGAGGAAUAACUUUUAUGAUCACUUUUGAAUUCUGGAUUUAAAAAAUGUUUUUACUUAUAGAAUUAAAAAACUCAGACUAAAGCAAGAAAUAUGAAAGCGACAAUGAGUGCUGUGAGUAAAGAAGCCUGUGUAUGUCAUGACUGAUGUGGCCUUUCCUAACGCGUCUGAAAAAAGCAAGGCACAGAAUAGCAGAUGGAGCGCUACCUGUGUGUGUGUGUAGGGCAGGAGUAUACAUGGAUUUGUUCGCCCUUGCACAAAGAACAAUGAAAUAAUAAACCAAACCCUAAUAAUCAAUUUCAUUUUGAAGAAGGGAGGAGGGUACAAGGAAGAGUGAGGCAUCUCUGAGUGUAUCUUGUUAUAGAAUUUCUACUUUAGAGACAUAGGUGUUUUACGUAUUCAAAAAUAAAAUUAGGCCAGGCAUGGUGACUCACACCUGUAAUCUCAGCACUCUGGGAGGCCGAGGCGGGCAGAUCACCUGAGGUCAGGAGUUCUAGACUACCCUGGCCAACAUGGUGAAACCUCGUCUCUACAAAAAAUACAAAAAUUAGCUGGGUGUGGUGGCGGGCACUUGUAAUCCCAGCUACUGGGAAGGCUGAGGCACAAGAAUUGCUUGAACCCAGGAGGUGGAGGUUGCACUGAGCCGAGAUUGUGCCACUGCACUCCAGCCUGGGCGACAGAGCAAGACUCAGUCUCAAAAAAAUAAAAAUAAAAAAUAAAACAAAAUAGCAAAUCCUAAAAAUUGAAAAUCAAAUUAAAAUAAAUUAAGACUGGCCAGGCGUGGUGGUUCAUGCCUGUAGUCCCAGUACUUUGGGAGGCUGAGGUGGGCGGAUCACCUGAGGUCAGGAGUUCAAGACCAGCCUGGCCAACAUAGAGAAAUCCCAUCUCUACUAAAAAUACAAAAAUUAGCCAGGUGUGGUGGCGUAUGCCUGUAAUCCCAGCUACUCGAGAGGCUGAGGCAGAUCACUUGAAUUCAGGAGGCGGAGGUUGCGGUGAGCUGAGAUCGUGCCACUGAACUCCAGCCUGGGCAACAGAGUGAGACUCCAUUUCAAAAAACAAACAAACAAGACACAAACAAGUAAGACUGACUAGAGGAAUUAUUUCAAAGGUCUAUAAGACAGCAUAGAAAGUAUCUAUUUUAGAAUAGAUGCUAAGGAUAAAAAUAGAAACAAAAUUCCAACAAAACAAAACAAAGACAAAUCUUAAACUUCUUUUUUUUUUUUUUUUUUUGAGAGAGUCUCUGUUGCCCAGGCUGGAGUGGGAUGGCGUGAUCUCAGCUCACUGCAACCUCUGCCUCCCGGGUUCAAGAGAUUCUCCUGCCUCAGCCUUCCAAGUAGCUGGGAUUACAGACAGGCACCACCAUGUCUGGCUAAUUUUUGUAUUUUUAGUAGAGACGGGGUUUUGCCAUGUUGGCCAGGCUGGUCUCGAACUCCUGACCUCAGGUGAUCUACCUGUCUCAGCCUCUAAAUGUGCUGGAAUUACAGAUGUGAGCCACAACACCCAGCCAAACUUCAUUUUGUAGUUUGUUUGUGACAGCAAUGUUGCUCUUUUGGAACUAUUUUAUUAAUGCAAGGGAGGAAUUAUGUUAAUGUAAUUUAGGAACCAAGAUCUUCAGUGUAAGAGAAAAGAUACAAGUACAAAAUCAAAGAUGUAAACAUUUGUAAUGUUAAAUUUGAAUUGGAAAUAACAACAUGAUCACAUUUUUUUCUUUUAAUAAUACCUAUUUCCUAGAACUAUUCACUGAAAAAUGACAACACAAUAGCAACAAGCAAAUUAUGUAACUAUGCUGUGGCUGCUAAAUAUCAUUCCUCCUAAACAGAACCUGAGUUCCUUAGAUGAAUGGCUGAUUCCUGAUCUGCAGCAAGAAGCAUAAAAUUUAAGUCAGAAAGCAACGAAACUAUCAAAGAUGAAUGGGCUGAGUCAAACGGACAUAGGACCAACAUGAAGGAGCAUAAACGGUUAAAGGGAAAAAAGUAUAAAACACACACCCACACACAAAGUAUGCAACAGAACGGAACACAAUGAUGACAUAAAAGCCAUGGGUUUUUGCCCCUAGUGGUUGUGAUUCUAUUUCCCCAGAGACUAGGAAUUUCAGAAGACCUCUGUUUCAAGUCUCUGGCUAACUAGCUAGGACAGGAGGUCUCGAUUCUGACUAAAUGUAAUUAUUGGAAUACUCCCAGUAUUGCUUUCUAAUGCAGAUAAAUCACUAUGAAAAGGAAACUAGAUGAAGGUUUAAUUUCUGAUUUUAUUUUCAAUUGAAUUUUGUCUGUUUAAUUGACACAUAUUCACAGAGUACACAGUGAUGUUUUGAAACAUAUAACGUACAGUGACUAAGACCAGGGUAAUUAGCACAUCCAUCAUCUCAAUCAUUUAUUAUUUGUGUUGGGAACAUUCAAUAUCCUCCUUUCAGGUAUUUGAAACUAUACAUUAUUGUUAAGUAUAGUCAUCUACAAUAGUAUAGUACACCAGAGCUCAUUCCUCAUAUCUAGCUGUAAUUCUGUAUAAUUUAACAAAUCUCUACCUAUCCCUCCCAUUCCAGCCUCUAGUAUUCUCUGUUCUAUUUUUUACUUCUAUGAGAUCAACUUUUUCUAAGCUUUUACAUAUGAAUGAGAACAUGCAGUGUUUAACUGCCUGUUCCUGGCUUAUUUCACUUAAUUGUCUCCAGUUCUAUCCAUAUUGCCAUGAAUGACAGGAUUUCAUCCUUUUCAAUGAUUGAAUAGUACUCUAUAGUGUAUAUCUAUCACAUUUUCUUUAUCCAUUCAUCUGUUGUUGGCACUUGGGUUGGUUCUGUAUCUUGGCUAUUGUGAACACUGCUGUAACAAAUAAAUGUCAUUAAUAGGAAAAUGGCUGAAUUAUGGAAAAGUCUAACCAUGGAAUACUUUGUGGUUUUAAAAAGAAUGUGGAUACAUCUAUAUGCAGUGACAUGGAAGAGCUGUAGGAUUUGUCAUAAAAUUUAAAAAGCGCACCACAGAAAUAUGCUCUAUAUAUACAGAUACAAAAUAUAUUACGUGUGUGUAUAUAUAUACACAAAUCCUAUUAAUACAGGAAGAAAAAACAAGCAAAUGCAAACUUUCCCUUAGAGAUAUGUAUGACUGCUUUUAACGUCUGGAAAGACACACCCGUGUUAGCACUGGUUACUGAAAGGGAGGGGAAAGGAGUGAACUAUGGGAGAAAAAUGACUCAUUUUUCCUCCUUAUGUUUCUAUAUUAUGAAUUUUUCUUUAUAUAAGCAUGUAUCCAUGUAUUACUUAUACAAUGAAAAAACCCAAAUAUGAUAUUUUCCAAAAAAUACAGUGUAUUUCUACCAAAAUUCUUCCCUCGACAUAAAACUGAUUCUCUUGACAUAAUAAAUCACACUGCCCCUUUGGACAUCUGUUAAUAUUUGCUCAACUUCUCUCUAUUCUGCCAAAAUGUUCCUUAAAAUCAAGAGCAACCUUGGAGUCGUGAAUUAAGACCCAGAGCAUUUAGCUAGAAGGAUAAUAACAAGGUCACUGAAUGAAUCCAAUGAGUACACAAGUAGGAUUGCCCAGAUGUUCCUUUAGCCUCGGAGUGAUUCCUCUGUGACAAGCAUGGCUUCCUGAGACAUGCCAUGCCCCAGCUCUGGUGGCUAUGACACUUUUUCAUGACUAGAUUUAAAAUCUGCAUCUUUGAAACUUCCACCUAAUGGUCUAUUUGGACUCCAGAUGAGGAUAACGCAUGAGCCAAUGAUCUUAUGGAGAGCUAGCAUUUGUUCUGUGACAAAGCAUGACACUUCACAAUUUAAUAAAAGGAAAUAACACUUGCUAUUCCUGAAAAUUUGUGAUCAGGCUUCUAGUAGUGGAUGACAUAAGAAAUGGGAGAUACACUAGCUAUUCCAACCAUUGUUUUGUUUUGUUUUUGAGAUAGGGUCUCACUCCCAUUACCCAGGCUGGAGGGUAGUGGUUAUGAUCUCGGCUCACUGCAGCCUCCACCUCCCAGGCUCAAGCAAUCCUCCUGUCUCAGCCUCCCAAGUAACUGUGACUACAGACAUUCGCCACCACACCUGGCUAGUUUUUGUAUUUUUUGUAGAGAUAGGCUUUUGCCAUGUUGCCCGGGCUGGUCUCAAACUCCUGGGCUCAAGUAAUCUGCCUGCCUCGGCCUACCAGAGUGCAGGGAUUAUAGGUGUGGUGGCACCUGGCCCCAACCAUUGUUUUGAGUAAAAUAUUGAAGAAAGAAUGUGAGCAUGUGAGCGCCAGAGUUGGCCAGACCCAGAAGCUGCAGAUGCCACCACGAACCCCGUGACCUUGAGCCAGUUACGUAAUCUCCCCACACCGCAGCUUCCUUGUCUAAAAAGUGAGCAUCAGAAGAGUAUCUACGCCUCACACAAUUAAGGAUUAAAUGGUUGGUACUUACCACAGUGCCUGGCUCUUAUAAACACAAAUAAAUAUUAGCUUUUCUGAUUAUUAGAUUAUUUCCUCAGGAAAACAACCACAAACACAAGUAUAACCUAAUUCUGGAAAUUGAAUAGUUGCUGCAAAUGACUUUUAUGUAGCCACUGAGGUACUUUAUCUGGUAAUCACUCCGCAGGAUGUAGCAGUACAUGAAAUUAUAGUCUUCAGUAUGGAUUUGCACCUCACUUUACAAGCAGCCUCGUUUAAUGUAAUUCUGUUUUGGACAGGUGACCACCGACUGCAGACUGUAUUAACUGAAACUGGCCACAGCAAUGUUUCCUAUGUGCUUUUCCAGAAUCCUGCCACUUUUCAUCAAGAGCUGAAGUCUAUUCCCCUUCCUUCUCAACCUAGGUGAGACUUUGUGACUAUCUCCAACCUGUAGAAUGAGGUAGAAAUAAUGCUGCAUAACUUCAGAGACUAUGUCAUAAAAGGCCGUAUGGUUUCUGCCUGGUUCUUUUUCUCUUGUGACACUUGCCCUUGGAGACUCUGCCCACUGUGCUGUGAGGAAGCCUAAACUAGCACACAUGGAAAAGGCCACAUGGAGGAGCCCACCUGGAGAGGAACUGAGGCAUCCUUGGAUAAUGGCCAGCAUCAUCUGGCUGAGCCAGACAUGUGCGAACAAGCCUUCAGAACCUAAGUUUAGGUAUUUCCAGUGCCUAGACUUGAAGCUUUCAGCUGAGGCAGCAGACACUGUAGAGCAGAGCCAAGCCAUUUCCACUGUGCCCUGUUCAAAUUCUUGGCCACAGAAUGUAUAAGCAGAAUAAAUGACUGUUUUACCCAUAAAGGUUCUGGGGUGUACUUUGUUAUACAGCCAUAGUAACUAAAACGGCCUUAUACCUUUAUUUUAUUUUUUAUUUUUUGAAAAAGUAACAUAGUCGUACCUCAGUAUCUAUGGGGGAUUGGUUCCAGAAUGCCCGUGGAUCCCAAAAUCUCUACCUACUCAAGUCCCGCAGCUGGCCCUGCAGAACACAUGGAUGCAAAAAGCCAGCCCUCCGCAUAUGCAGGUUUCACAUCCUGCUGUAUUCUCUGUCUGCAUUUGGUUGUGGAUGCAGAGCCCACCGACAUGGAGGCAGACUGCAUCUGUGAAAAAAAAAUCUGCACAGCUCAAAUCUGUGUUGUUUGAGGGCCAAGUGUCCAUGAAUAUGGCAAAAAGUUCACAAGGGUAUUUACAGUGAAAAAAGCAUAAACUGUGGCUUAAUUCUCUGGAGGCAACCACAGGUACCAGAGUCUUACAUAUCCUUAUGAUGUGUACAUAGAUAAUGUGUAUGUAUGUGUGUUUAAAACACAUGGCAGCAAGCUACAGACACCACUCUGUACUUUGUUUCACUUACUUUAUAAUUGAAGAUCAUCUGAUAUCAGCACAUUUAGUUCUAUCCUCAUUUCUUUUUAAUGGUUGGGCAAAACUCCAUUAUUUAAACCAGUCCAUUACUGAACACUUGGAUAUUUCCAGUCUUUUGCUUCUAAAAAUAAUGCUUCACUGACUACCACUGAACAUACACGUAUACGUGAGUGCAUAAUUUGUUCUGUAUAAUAACAUUUUUAGGCCGGGCGUGGUGGCUCACGCCUGUAAUCCCAGCACUUUGGGAGGCCGAGGCGGGUGGAUCAUGAGGUCAGGAGAUCAAGACCAUCCUGGCUAACAAGGUGAAACCCCGUCUCUACUAAAAAUACAAAAAAUUAGCCGGGCGCGGUGGCGGGCGCCUGUAGUCCCAGCUACUCGGGAGGCUGAGGCAGGAGAAUGGCGUGAACCCGGGAAGCAGAGCUUGCAGUGAGCCGAGAUUGCGCCACUGCAGUCCGCAGUCCGGCCUGGGCGACAGAGCGAGACUCCGUCUCAAAAAAAAAAAAAAAAAAAAAAAAAAAAAAUAACAUUUUUAGCACUUAAAUUGCUGGGUCAUAAUUCUGAUGGGUAUCACAAAACUGCCCUUCCACCAACAUAUGAGAGGUUCCUGUUUUUCUAUACUCUUGCUAACAGUAUAUUCUAUUCUCAACCUCUUUGCUUUUUUUCUCCCAAAGUGACGGGUAAAAAAAGGACAUUCCACUAUAUUUUAAAGUUGUACUUCCCUUUUUAUAAGUGAGACCGAGCCUCUCUUCCAGUUUAAAGGCCAUUUGUGUUUCCUUUCUACGACAUGCCAGUUGCUGUUUUUGGGCCAUUUUCCCUAGGCUUUUGUCCUGUAAGAGCUGUGCUAAUACAGACACCAUACUUCCCAGGGCCUCUGAUGCCAACAGAUGAUCACCACAAGGACUGUUACAAUAUAGCUUUCUAUCUUGGAUUGCCAGUGUCUGCAUCUCUUCCCCACUCCCCUUAGGUUCAAAUAGUUUUUAUAGUGUGUUCUACAACCUACUCGAAACAUCGAUUAGAAAAGUAUAUAUAUGCUAUGAGAAUGUUCAACGUUGCCUUUUAAAACCUCAAACACCCUCAAUCUUAACAUAUAUUUUCAUUAGUAUUUUAAAAAUAUUUGCCAUACAAAUUGUCUCUUCAAAUCUAUAAUUUUCUAAUGACUUAGAAAUGGCAGGCACAGGCUGGGCAUUUUACAUAUGUGAUUUCAUUUCAUCUUUACAAUAAUCCUAUGAAGCAGGUAUUCUUGUUCCCAUUUCCAAAUGGAAGCUAACUGAAAUACCCAAGCCCUAGUUACUGUGUUCAGAAACCAUGGUUCCCAGGAAACUAUGAUAGGGCAUGCUAUGGACUGAAUGCUUGUGUCACCCCAAAAUUCAUAUACUGAAACCCGAAUUCCUUAUGUGAUGGCAAUAAGAGAUGGGGCCUUUGGGUCGUAAUUACGUCACUAGGGUAGGGUUGUCAUAAUGGAAUUAGUAUCCUAAGAAGAAUCAGGAGAGCUAUCUCUCUCUCUCUGUCAUGUGAGGAUGCAGCAGGAAGGUAUAAGGAAAUCCAGCAAAUCAGGAAGAAAGCCCUCUCCAGAAUCAUUUUGUCUAAGACCUUGAUCUUGGACUCGCCAGCCUCCAGAACUGUGAGAAAUAACUUUGUUAUUUAAGCAAAACACACAUACACACACAUACACACACACACACACACACACACACUUGCCCUAGUCCUAACCUUAGAAAAAAUUCGUAUCCUGAAUAGAAUCCUGUAGUACUCACUUUGUACAGAUAUCUUAGACCUAAAGGAAUCUGACAAUGUCUUAAAAAGUUAAGAAGCUUAAGACAGCAACGACACUGUCUUAAGACCUACAGCAAAAUAACAGAACAAAUCUCAAACUUUUUUUUUAACCUAGUACUUUCUGGAUCAGGGUUAUAAAUCUACAAGCACAUGCAGCACUUGCUAGAAUCAUAAAUUCUUAGGCCCCAUUCCAGACCAAAUGAAUCCAAAUCUCUAGGGGUAAGACCCAAGAAUGUGUGUUUAUCAAGAUUUACAGGCAGUUCUUUUGCCUAUUGGAGCUUGAGAGGCACACUAUAGAGCCUAGAUACUUGCAGGCUGAAGAAAGACCCCACUUGGAGGCCUUUAAGAUUCUGUGCUACCUCAGCCCAGUGAGCAGUCUUUCUAGAUACUGGAGCUGGUCUAGGGCAGUGGGAUGAAAUGUACUUGCAGGUGUUCCACAUCUGGUCUUCAGGAAGGGCCACUCUGAACAAAGCGAGAAGACAAGAAAGGAGGGCAGAGUGUUUACUUUCCUUUCUUUCUCUUUCAGGAGAAAACAAAGGUUGAGGGUGGGGAGUGGAGAGUGGCAGGAGAGAUUUUAAAACGCUCUUAUCUGGGGGCUUCUUCAUCUUGGGAGGUACCCUUAUUUUUAAGAACUUAAGUGGGGUUGGGUAGAUGUCAGGUCAGAGGUAAGAACGGUUUAGUGCUGGAAUCUUGGGACUCACACGAUUCCUUCUAAAUUAUCCAAAGACUCAAUAGGAUAAGGGGGGAAAAAAGUCAGGAAUGCCAUCAGUGCUUUAAAAAGAAAAAAAGUACAUUUAGCUGUAGUGUCUCAUGUUUUAAUGUCUCUUGGGAAGCUAAGGACAAGGUGAACUAAAAUUCCUAACAUGUAUCUGAGUAUUCAGGGAUGAUAAAAAUCAACAAGGAUUAAACCUCUAUUUGAAAGUUUCAUAGACUCUCCAGACAAAAUGGAGCCAAGUUAAAGCAAACCAACCUAUUUUAACAUGAUGCAGUAGUAAAGAGUCACGUGUUACCUUGUCAACAUUAGCUCGUGUUUUAGCAGAUGUUUCCACGUAGUUAACAUUCCACUGCUCAGCUCUGUUUUUUGCCUCUUCUACAGAAACCUGUCUUUUAUCUUCUAAAUCUGAUUUGUUACCAACCAGUAGAAAUGGAACAUUCUCAUCUUCUUUUACUCUUAAAAUCUGCUCCCUGGAUAAGAGAAAAUGAAAAAGAAAUAUUAACAUUAUAAGGAUAGCACAGAAAGUUCUUGUUUGCCCCAUACCUAUUUUUCCCUAUUGUUAACAUCUACUACUGUGGUACACAAAUCACAAUUAAUGAACCAAUAUCGAUACAGUAUUAGCAACUAAGGUCCAAACUUUAUUCAAAUGUGCUUGCUUUUUGCCUGACAUCCUUUUUCUGUUCCAGGAUCCCAUCCAGGUUGCCACAUGACAUUUAGUUUCGUCAUGUCUCUUUAGCCUUGAGUUGGCCAUGGUAAUUCUCAGACUUUCCUUGUUUUUGAUGACCUUAAUAGUUUUGAGGACUGCUGGCUGGCAGUUUGUACAAUGUCUCUCAAUUGGGAUUUGUCAGAUGUUUUCCUCAUGAUUAAAGUAGGGUUAUUGGUUCUUGGGAGGAAGAUUUAGAAAGUGCUAUUCUUAUUGCAUCAUAUCAAGGGUCCCACCAAUUGUUUUUCAAAACCCAAAUGUGCCAGAAAUUACUGGAAGUCAGACCUUGAGCAUAGAUUUUGCAUUGAGAGGUAAGUUAUCCACUGUGAAAGUGUCAUCAAUUUUAAAGUACCAUGGUUCUGCUCUUC
rnacentral:lncRNA from 1 species